UUUAAUAGACUGGAGAAUUUGUCAGUAUGGAAGCUAAGAAAUUGAGCUUUCUAACACUGGGUUUAACAUUUCAAAAGGGUGAAUUUCAUUCCAAACCAUGACCUUUUGAAGCCUGUCUCAUCCUCAGGUGAAAUGCUCCAGUGAUGUCAACACUUGCCUUUCCUCAGAAAUGUGCAUAAAGUUGGUGUUGCGCGGUGACACAUCGAUAAAGGAAUACGUACCUACGUGUCAUUUCCUGAAAUCUGGGACAUGGAAAUCGACUUGCGAACACCGUAAAACAGCUCAUACAGUUUGUGCAUCAUUAAUGACAAAUAUGAUGAAGGAGACAAUAGAGUCAUGCCAGGAAAAACAAAAGAAGACU